rnacentral:ncRNA from 1 species
AGGGGCAUUCGGCGAUCGCCCCCUUCAGGCCGGACCGGCCCAAGCAUCGC